UACGUAGGGGGCAAGCGUUGUCCGGAUUUAUUGGGCGUAAAGAGCGUGUAGGCGGUCUGGCAGGUCCGCUGUGAAAACUCGAGGCUCAACCUCGAGACGCCGAUGGAAACCGUCUGGCUAGAGUCCGGAAGAGGAGAGUGGAAUUCCCGGUGUAGCGGUGAAAUGCGCAGAUAUCGGGAAGAACACCCGUGGCUAAGGCGGCUCUCUGGUACGGUACUGACGCUGAGACGCGAAAGCGUGGGGAGCGAACAGG
rnacentral:rRNA from 1 species